CGCAUCAAUUCAUGAUUGCAUUAUGGCAGUAAACCAUACCAGAUCGCAACACUAUUCUUCCCAGAGUAACUGUGGCGAUAACAAUUUUCUUCUUAUUUUGUUCUUCUUAAGCAAUUUUCUUUUAAAAUAACCUUUUUCCGUCCAGGAAUCAUGUUCGGUUCGCAUACUGUAGCUUUUUAAAACGGCGUUUAAUGAGAUGAUAUUUCAAAACGACCGCCAAUUUUGUUGUGCUGACCGUCACUCGAAGGGGAGAAGCGCAGUUAAUUAAGUACGGCUCAUGAAAAGCACGCCUGUUUGAAUCAAAAUUAAGUAUACGCCUAUUCUGUAGUCGACUAAGAUAUGAAUUAAGUUCGGCUCAGGAAAAGUACGGCGUCUAAACCGGGCCUAAUAAUUGUUAUUUAAUCAUCCAUAUAAAAGUAUUUUUAAAAGGCUAACUAGUAAAGAAAUUUUAGAUAUGAUUUUAAAGGUUCUAUCAAAUCAGACAAACUUAACUUUGAUUGCCAUAUCUCUUUAAUGGUGCAAAGUCUGUGAACCUAACAGUAAUUCCCGGCGAAUUUAACAUAAGAUUAUUCAUGAUGAUUACGAAAAAGGCGUACAUUAAUUCAAAGAGGCUGUCAAGUCAGUUCUGCCCAUGCGCGUGUUCUGUUUACAUUUUUUGUUUCAAACAAUAGAUAAUUAAAUUAAAUUAAAUUAUCUAUUGCAAUUGUUCGAAAUAAAAAUGUAAACAAAACACGCGCAUGAGCAGAAUGGACUUGACAGCCUCUUUAAAGGAAUCACAAUAAUCUUACAUACAUAUAUAUUUAUAACAAGAUCAUAAGUCAAAGAUAAUAAGUCAUACACAAAUCAAUUAUACACACAUAAAAUUAUCAUGUGCAUGGGUAAACGUACAAGGUGAACCUAUAGAAUAAUUUAUGUAAAUUGAGAUAAGACAUUUGAGUUUAUUAUUGUACGUUAGAAAUAACAUUAAUAUUCAUUGUUUACAAAUAUAUUAUGUCAGAAAGAAACAUUUGUUAUCAGGAAACGAGGUUUGAAAUAAAUAUUUUGAAUUUAGAUAUAUUAAUUUGCAUAGCCGAUGGUUUUUGUAAAUGGAAUUUUCGAACGUAAAUAUCUAUAAACGUUUAGACCUAACCUGGA
rnacentral:lncRNA from 1 species